rnacentral:rRNA from 1 species
CUUUACCAUGCGGGCAACCGUGAUAAGGAACCCCGAGUGCCAGCACAGGCUGGCUGUCCACCAGUGUAAAUAACUGGUGAAGAAAGGGCCGGGCAAGACCGGUGCCAGCCGCCGCGGUAAUACCGGCGGCUCGAGUGGUGGCCGCUAUUACUGGGCUUAAAGCGUCCGUAGCUGGGUUGUUAAGUCUCUGGGGGAAAUCUUCCGGGCUUAACCGGAAGGCGUCUCAGGGGAUACUGGCAAUCUAGGGAUCGGAAGAGGUGAGGGGUACUCCAGGGGUAGGAGUGAAACCCUGUAAUCCUUGGGGGACCACCUGUGGCGAAGGCGCCUCACCAGGACGACUCCGACAGUGAGGGACGAAAGCUGGGGGGANCAAACCGGGA